rnacentral:lncRNA from 1 species
CAAGGAAUGAUGCUGUUAUCUCAAAAAUUAUUUUUCUUGUAACAGCAAUUUUUGGCUGAGGGCUGCUGGUGAGGGCUCUAUAUGGCGCAGAUGCCCAUUUUAUUAUUUUGACUUAAUAUAUAUAUUAUCCCUAUUUACAACAAAACCAUGCUUAUUCCCAACUAAAUAUGUUUAGCAUUAGGCAGCAGAGGCAAACUUCAAUUUCUUCCAAAGAGAUUAUUUAUUGCCUUCCACAUAUGCCCCAUGGUGACAAUAAAAACAGCUUAAAACAGUUACAGAAAUAACAGAUGAUUUUAAAAAACAAUACAAAAUGGACACCUCUCACAGAGACCCAGCUGCCAAAGGAUUGACAGAACCAAAAUGUCUUCAAUUGUUUCCAAGAGGUGCCGAUAGUGUGCAUAGUUUAAAUGAGUUAAAAUGUGAAACAGCCUUGGUUCUUUUUGAGUAUUUAUUUUCUUUCUUUUAAAGAAUGGGUGCGGCAAAGUGUUUUGUUUGUUCUUUCAUUGCUCUAGCACAUCAGGAAAAUGGAAGCAGCUGUAAAUGACCAUGUAAAGUCCCCCCCCCCCCGUCCGCCAAGACCAUAAACUCCAGAGUCUAAAAUAACUGCAUGGACCACUGAACAAGCUGUAGAUCAGGCAUGCACUGAUUCCCCAUUGUAAACAAUGUACUUCAUUUUCCAGCAGUACCCACAGAAGAACAAAUUGUGGCCCAGAUGUUUAAGAUCCCAUCCAAAUAACUUUAUUGUGCUAGCCAUUGGCCAUGACAAAUCUGAAUCAAAAAUAAAUACAAGCAGAAGGGGUGUCACACCACAAAUAAUGGUCUCUGUUUAGAUCUCUGUGUCUCCCUUUCAGUUCACUGCUAUAUUGUUCAGGGUCUUCUUUCUGAUCUGUUUGGCCGCCAAGGCAAAAAGGGUGACUUUAUGCAUCACUGAAGCAUUUACAUUGCUGAGAAGCCAUAGGACCUUCUCUGCGGGGGAGAGACAUCUUUCCUGUAUGGACGGUAAGAUGAGAAGUCACCUCCUGGGUCAAAUGUUUAGUUGGCAAUGUAGUAAACAGUGCAAGAUGUCUUCCAUAUCAUUGGGAACAGGGACAAACUUUGGUCUUUCUAAUUUCAGCAGCACUCUUUGCAAGGCCAAAAUUCCCCUCCCUGACCUCUUGCCUUCUGUUCUGCUCAAAUCACUAGGUCAUAGUUGCUCCGCCCUGUGGCGCCCCCUAGCCUUGGCACCCAGUGUGGCAGAACCGUUCGUGCUGCCCUAAAUCCGCCUCUUUUCCUGAACCUUCCCUAGUUUUCUGAUCAAAACACGCAUGCUUCUCAAGGGUUGCAUAAGGUAGGGCUAAGUCAGUUUCAGACCAUUAAGCACACCUAUUAUAAAGGAACUGCUCUGUGGUUGUUGUUUUUCUUACAGCCAAGGGGUAUAGAAAUUCACUGAAACAUUUACAUCGCUAAGAAGCCAUAGGACCUUCUGUGCCGGGGAGAGACAUCUUUCCUGUAUGGAUGGUAGGGUGAGAAAUCGCCUCCUGGGUCCAAUGUAUAGUGGGCAAUAUAGUAAACAGUGCAAGAUGUCUUCCACCUGUGGUUGCCCACAUAUGCAGAGUUUCUCUUCAUUAUGGUACCCUGUUGUACCCUCUUCUAGGACGGCAGAGGGCAGAGCUUGAAAAUGCAGCUUAGGAAAAGCAAAUCUUAGCGAGGCUGGGUGAAGAUUCGACAAGUAACUGGCUCUAAACUGGACUGUUUUUAAAAGGGGUGUUUACAUUACAGAGUAACAUUCAGCAACCAGCUCUAAGCCUUUGGAAUUGCACAGGGUAGGAAAUCUGCCUAGACAACUAGUAAAAACAUAACUGCAUCUCAUUUCUUAUUUUGUGUUACCAUUUUAGUUCUGUGUGGUGGGGGCAGAUGGAGGGCUGAGGGAAAUCCACCGGUAAACUUCUUCAGUGAUUUUCAGUACAGUGGUGCCUCGCAAGACGAAAUUAAUCCGUUCCGCAAGUGUCUUCGUCUAGUGGUUUUUUCGUCUUGCGAAGCAACCCUAUUAGCGGCUUAGCGGAUUAGCGCUAUUAGCAGUUUAGCAGCUAUUAAAGGCUUGUCGGCUUAGUGGCUUAGCUGCCAGAAGGCUAUUAGCGGCUUAGCGGCUUAGAAAAAGGGGGGGGGAGCGAAAAAAAAUCUCAAGACUCGCAAGACAUUUUCGUCUUGCGAAGCAAGCCCAUAGGGAAAUUCGUCCUGCGAAGCAACUCAAAAACGGAAAACCCUUUCGUCUAGCGGGUUUUCCGUCUUGCGAGGCAUUUGUCUUGCGGGGCACCACUGUACAUUGACGAAGAAUUCUGACACCCAGCUGUUUAACAACAGCAAGAACAAAGACACUUCCCUCUUUAAAUGAGGCUACCAAAAUGAAAAAAAAACCCUGUGGGGAUAACCAGAAGUGGCUGUUUGUGUAGACGGUGAGCUCAGGUUUGGUACUGCAAGUAAAUUCCUGGCCUCUGUUCCUUAAUUCUAAGUAUGUAUCUACCUCCGAAGCCACUAUUGCAUCUGGCUCUGCUUAGUAGACUUCAGGGUUCUAAUAAAAAUAUAUCAAAGUAGAUCUUGCAAGCAUGAAGUCUCUCUCCCACUGCCUUGCUAUCUGAGAUUCAGGUUGGAUUUAUUUUCUACUCCAUGCGUAAGAAUCAAUGUUGAACAUCCCCCAGGAAUUAUAGGUUCAGCUGAAACCUUUUCCAUAACUCCUGUUCUGAUUUAUUUUAUAUAUGGUUCAUGACAGUUGAAGGGUGAAAAGUUGAAAGCCGGUAUCAGUUCCUCCAAAAUGGGCACGGCUGGGGGAGGGUAGAUGAUAUGUGUAUUCCCUGCAGCAGAUCCGACCUUAAACAAAAUAUUUCUACCCAUUUGCUGAAGUGUUUGCCAUUUCAAUUUGAAACCGGGUGGGAUGUUAAAAAGUGCUGGCUCUGGCCACGUGUGCUCAUUAAAGAUCCCCAUGGCACUUUUGGAACAAAUGAAACCAAAUUCUAGAGAGAGCUUUCUAUUUUGUCUACCCAAAUCCCCAUUGGCUUUUAAAGUGGAUAAGCUGUUCUUCAGCAUCACUCCUGAGAAACCCUUGUUAACCUAGCAAGAUGACAGGGAAUAUUGCUGCUUGUAGCUCACACGGAAAUAAGUACACUGGAUAAAACAAUGUGGUGCAGCCAUUUCACCCCAUGCCAUAUAGCCCAAAAUCUGCAAGUAGUUUGAUCAUACCGUUGCUUUCAGUGGGUGUGUUCAGAUAAUGCGACACAGACCGUUUUCUCCUCGCCUUCCUUUUUAUGUGCUUCUGGGCCUGCUCUCCAGCUCAUUUCCUCACUCCCCCCUCCCCGCCCCUCACAGGGCAGCUGUGAUAGAGGGGGAAUGCAAGCCUGAGGCAGUCUCUCAACCUCUCUUCAGGUAGAAUCCCAUUUACAACAUGUUUAAUCCACUUUCCCCAUGAAAGUCACUUCUGUCAACACAAAGUGUACAGCCACCAUAUGAAAAACAAGGUAGUCACAGAAUAUUAAGAUCUAUAUCUAUCCAGCACCUUUCAAAAUAGACAGGGAGAGCUCAACUUGUAGAGCCACCCCAGGGUCAUGGGUUCAAGCUCCACAUGGGGGUUGGACUAGAUUACCCCCGUGGUCCCUUCCAACUUUACAAUUCUAAGAUUCUAUGAAUUUAAGAGCAUCUCUUCAAAUAUACGCUGUGGAUACAUGUUGGCAAAAUAUUUGAGAUUUUCCUGUAUUCAUGGAUUUUUUUGGGGGUGCUAAAUUUAGACUAGCUUCACUCUGAGGUUUUCUGCUGCACAGAGUGGGCCCUUAACAUGCAAAUGAGGCCUUCUAAGGAAUGUCACCAUGCUGUCCAUUACAUAUGAUCCUGGCUCUGUGUCCUACUGGACAAAAGAAUGUUCUGGUGGAAGUGCUGUCCAGUCCAAAUCUAGUUUAACUAUAAAGAACCAACCAUAAGGAGAACUACGCAGCAACCUGAGCAAACUUUCAAGUCAAGUGAUCAUAGUCUGCCUCACCAUGGUGAGAUGUGUUGUAAUUUCUAUUUAAAUCAUAGUAAUUUCAUCUAAAUUUGCAUCUAUGUGUAUAAAUUAGCAUUUGCAUGUUUUAUGCAAAUCUGUUCCACUUUUUGUCUUCCUUUGUGCGUAUGUGAUGCCGUCAUCCUUUUUUGGUGAUGCAAAAGAAGCCACCCUGCUAUAUGCCAGCAUUCCAGUUUAUAAUAAUUAGUAAUAAUAAUUUUUUAUUAGCAGUCAUGAAAUUAAAAGACGCCCGCUUCUUGGGAGAAAGGCAAUGACAAACCUAGACAGCAUCUUAAAAAGCAGAGAAAUCACCUUGCCAAAAAAGGUCCGUAUAGUUAAAGCCAUGGUUUUCCCAGUAGUGAUGUAUGGAAGUGAGAGCUGGACCAUAAAGAAGGCUGAUCGCCGAAGAAUUGAUGCUUUUGAAUUAUGGUGCUGGAGGAGACUCUUGAGAGUCCCAUGGACUGCAAGAAGAUCAAACCUAUCCAUUCUUAAGGAAAUCAGCCCUGAGUGCUCACUGGAAGGACAGAUCCUGAAGCUGAGGCUCCAGUACUUUGGCCACCUCAUGAGAAGAGAAGACUUCCUGGAAAAGACCCUGAUGUUGGGAAAUAUUGAGGAUACAAGGAGAAGGGGACAACAGAGGAUGAGAUGGUUGGACAGUGUUCUCGAAGCUACCAGCAUGAGUUUGACCAAACUGCGGGAGGCAGUGAAAGACAGCAGGGCCUGGCGUGCUCUGGUCCAUGGG